ACGGAAGGCAGCAGUGAGGAAUAUUGGACAAUGGGGGCAACCCUGAUCCAGCCAAACCGCGUGAGGGAUGAAGGUCCUACGGAUCGUAAACCUCUUUUAUGUGGGAAUAAUUAGCGGAACGUGUUCCGCUUUGAAGGUACCACUUGAAUAAGCAUCGGCUAACUCCGUGCCAGCAGCCGCGGUAAUACGGAGGAUGCAGGCGUUAUCCGGAUUUAUUAGGUUUAAAGGGUGCGCAGGCGGGACAUUAAGUCGGUGGUGAAAUACCGUGGCCCAACCACGGGGCUGCCAUCGAUACUGAUGACCUUGAGUGCGUGUGACGUAGGCGGAAUGUGGAGUGUAGCGGUGAAAUGCUUAGAUAUGACGAAGAACUCCGAUUGCGAAGGCAGCUUGCUGGGCCGCAACUGACGCUGAAGCUCGAAGGUGCGGGUAUCGAACAGGAUUAGAUACCCUGGUA
rnacentral:rRNA from 1 species